rnacentral:piRNA from 1 species
UCACAUUUAUUUUUGUCUUAAGUCUGCAU